AGCGAACGCUGGCGGCAGGCUUAACACAUGCAAGUCGAGCGGGGCGUAGCAAUACGUCAGCGGCAGACGGGUGAGUAACGCGUGGGAACGUACCUUUUGGUUCGGAACAACACAGGGAAACUUGUGCUAAUACCGGAUAAGCCCUUACGGGGAAAGAUUUAUCGCCGAAAGAUCGGCCCGCGUCUGAUUAGCUAGUUGGUGAGGUAACGGCUCACCAAGGCGACGAUCAGUAGCUGGUCUGAGAGGAUGAUCAGCCACAUUGGGACUGAGACACGGCCCAAACUCCUACGGGAGGCAGCAGUGGGGAAUAUUGGACAAUGGGCGCAAGCCUGAUCCAGCCAUGCCGCGUGAGUGAUGAAGGCCCUAGGGUUGUAAAGCUCUUUUGUGCGGGAAGAUAAUGACG
rnacentral:rRNA from 1 species